UAUCCUAAGGUGAGGCUGGUAACUGGGAUGAAGUCGUAACAAGGUAGCCGUAGGGGAACCUGCGGCUGGAUCACCUCCUUU
rnacentral:rRNA from 1 species